rnacentral:lncRNA from 1 species
UCUCCCUCUUCGUCUCUGAAGAACAGAGACCAAACGAACCCCACCAAACCCUAGCCGCCACUGAACACCUUCUCUUGGAACCUGGCAGCAACGGCGCAGCUGGCCACCCAAAUAACAUCCCUAAACCCUCAAACCACCCUCUCCAUGAAUCUGUUCUCUGUUAACCUUGAAUCAUCCUAUAACUUCUCGAAUCUUCGAUCAAAGACCAGCCCCAAAAAAUCUAGUUGGCCCGUUUGACCCAAAACUUACACCUAAUAAUCCCCUUGGCCUCCUCGUCUCUAAUCCCUAACCAAUUUGGUUCAAAUCUGAGUUAAACUCGCCGAAUGGUAAAUCUAAGGUUCAAUGGUUCUAGGCUAUUUCGAAAUUGUCAAG